rnacentral:tRNA from 1 species
GCGAGUGUAGCUCAGCUGGUUAGAGCGCACGCCUGAUAAGCGUGAGGUC